AGCUGCUUUGGGACUACAAUUCCCAUCAUCCCUGACCACUGGUCCUGUUAGCUAGGGGUGAUGGGAGUUGUAGUCCCAAAACAUCU
rnacentral:miRNA from 1 species